rnacentral:rRNA from 1 species
AGUGAACGCUGGCGGUAGGCCUAACACAUGCAAGUCGAGCGGCAGCACAGUAAGAGCUUGCUCUUACGGGUGGCGAGUGGCGGACGGGUGAGGAAUACAUCGGAAUCUACUUUUUCGUGGGGGAUAACGUAGGGAAACUUACGCUAAUACCGCAUACGACCUACGGGUGAAAGCAGGGGAUCUUCGGACCUUGCGCGAUUGAAUGAGCCGAUGUCGGAUUAGCUAGUUGGCGGGGUAAAGGCCCACCAAGGCGACGAUCCGUAGCUGGUCUGAGAGGAUGAUCAGCCACACUGGAACUGAGACACGGUCCAGACUCCUACGGGAGGCAGCAGUGGGGAAUAUUGGACAAUGGGCGCAAGCCUGAUCCAGCCAGACCGCGUGGGUGAAGAAGGCCUUCGGGUUGUAAAGCCCUUUUGUUGGGAAAGAAAAGCAGCAGGUUAAUACCCCGCUGUUCUGACGGUACCCAAAGAAUAAGCACCGGCUAACUUCGUG